GACGAACGCUGGCGGCGUGCCUAAUACAUGCAAGUUGAGCGCUGAAGGUUGGUACUUGUACCGACUGGAUGAGCAGCGAACGGGUGAGUAACGCGUGGGGAAUCUGCCUUUGAGCGGGGGACAACAUUUGGAAACGAAUGCUAAUACCGCAUAAAAACUUUAAACACAAGUUUUAAGUUUGAAAGAUGCAAUUGCAUCACUCAAAGAUGAUCCCGCGUUGUAUUAGCUAGUUGGUGAGGUAAAGGCUCACCAAGGCGAUGAUACAUAGCCGACCUGAGAGGGUGAUCGGCCACAUUGGGACUGAGACACGGCCCAAACUCCUACGGGAGGCAGCAGUAGGGAAUCUUCGGCAAUGGACGAAAGUCUGACCGAGCAAACGCCGCGUGAGUGAAGAAGGUUUUCGGAUCGUAAAACUCUGUUGGUAGAGA
rnacentral:rRNA from 1 species